rnacentral:rRNA from 1 species
UACGGAGGGUGCAAGCGUUAAUCGGAAUUACUGGGCGUAAAGCGUGCGCAGGCGGUUUGUUAAGUCUGUUGUGAAAUCCCCGAGCUCAACUUGGGAAUUGCAAUGGAUACUGGCAGGCUGGAGUAUGGUAGAGGAAGGUGGAAUUCCCGGUGUAGCAGUGGAAUGCGCAGAUAUCAGGAGGAACACCAACGGCGAAGGCAGCUCGCUGGGACGGUACUGACACUAAGGCGCGAAAGCGUGGGGAGCGAACAGG